rnacentral:rRNA from 1 species
CCUACGGGUGGCAGCAGUGAGGAAUAUUGGUCAAUGGGCGCGAGCCUGAACCAGCCAAGUAGCGUGAAGGAUGACUGCGCUACGGGUUGUAAACUUCUUUUAUCAAGGAAUAAAGUGAGGGACGUGUGCCUUUUUGUAUGUACUUUAAGACUAAGGCUCGGCUAACUCCGUACCAGCAGCCGCGGUAAUACGGAGGAUCCGAGCGUUAUCCGGAGUUAUUGGGUUAAAGGGGUGCGUAGGCGGUCAUUUAAGCCGGCGGUCAAAUGCCGGGGCUCAACCCCGGCCGGCCGUCGGAACUGGGUGCCUUGAGUGGGCGAGAAGUAUGCGGAAUGCGUGGUGUAGCGGUGAAAUGCAUAGAUAUCACGCAGAACCCCGAUUGCGAAGGCAG